UACGGAGGGAGCUAGCGUUGUUCGGAAUUACUGGGCGUAAAGCGCACGUAGGCGGCUUUUUAAGUCAGGGGUGAAAUCCCGGGGCUCAACCCCGGAACUGCCCUUGAAACUGGAGAGCUAGAAUCUUGGAGAGGCGAGUGGAAUUCCGAGUGUAGAGGUGAAAUUCGUAGAUAUUCGGAAGAACACCAGUGGCGAAGGCGACUCGCUGGACAAGUAUUGACGCUGAGGUGGCGAAAGCGUGGGGAGCAAACAGGG
rnacentral:rRNA from 1 species